rnacentral:rRNA from 1 species
CACGUGAACAAUCUACCUUUAAGUGGGAAUAACUGGCCGAAAGGCUAAUUAAUACCGCAUGUGGUCGAAAUUCGCAUGAAUUUCGAACUAAAGUCAGGGACCGCAAGGCCUGACGCUUUUAGAGGAGUUCGCGGCCUAUCAGCUAGUUGGCGAGGUAACGGCUCACCAAGGCUAAGACGGGUAGCUGGUCUGAGAGGAUGAUCAGCCACACUGGAACUGAGACACGGUCCAGACACCUGCGGGUGGCAGCAGUUUCGAAUCAUUCACAAUGGGCGAAAGCCUGAUGGUGCGACGCCGCGUGAGGGAUGAAGGUCUUCGGAUUGUAAACCUCUGUCACCAGGGAAGAAAAACUAGCCGUUAAUAGCGUCUAGUCUGACUUAACCUGGAGAGGAAGCAGUGGCUAACUCUGUG